AACGAACGCUGGCGGCAUGCCUAACACAUGCAAGUCGAACGAGACCUUCGGGUCUAGUGGCGCACGGGUGCGUAACGCGUGGGAAUCUACCCUCAGGUUCGGAAUAACUCAGAGAAAUUUGAGCUAAUACCGGAUGAUGACUUAAGUCCAAAGAUUUAUCGCCUUAGGAUGAGCCCGCGUAGGAUUAGGUAGUUGGUGAGGUAAAGGCUCACCAAGCCGACGAUCCUUAGCUGGUCUGAGAGGAUGAUCAGCCACACUGGGACUGAGACACGGCCCAGACUCCUACGGGAGGCAGCAGUGGGGAAUAUUGGACAAUGGGCGAAAGCCUGAGCCAGCAAGGCCGCGUGAGUGAUGAAGGCCUUAGGGUUGUAAAGCUCUUUUACCCGGGAUGAUAAUGACAGUACCGGGAGAAUAAGCUCCGGCUAACUCCGUG
rnacentral:rRNA from 1 species